rnacentral:rRNA from 1 species
ACUCAAAUGAAUUGACGGGGGCCCGCACAAGCGGUGGAGCAUGUGGUUUAAUUCGACGCAACGCGAAGAACCUUACCAGGGUUUGACAUGUAGGUAGUAGGAACCCGAAAGGGGGACGAUUCCGUAGUAAUACGGAAAGCUUACACAGGUGCUGCAUGGCUGUCGUCAGCUCGUGUCGUGAGAUGUUGGGUUAAGUCCCGCAACGAGCGCAACCCUUAUCCUUAGUUGCCACCAGGCCGAAAGGCGCUGAGCACUCUAGAGAAACUGCCCUGUAUAACGGGGAGGAAGGUGGGGAUGACGUCAAGUCCUCAUGGCCUUUAUACCCUGGGCUACACACGUGCUACAAUGGCUGGAACAACGAGUCGCCAACCCGCGAGGGUGAGCUAAUCUCUAAAAACCAGCCCCAGUUCAGAUUGGAGGCUGCAAUUCGCCUCCAUGAAGUCGGAAUCGCUAGUAAUCGCGGAUCAGCUACGCCGCGGUGAAUACGUUCCCGGGCCUUGUACACACCGCCCGU